GAUGAACGCUGGCGGCGUGCCUAAUACAUGCAAGUCGAGCGAACAGAUGAGGAGCUUGCUCCUCUGACGUUAGCGGCGGACGGUUGAGUAACACGUGGAUAACCUACCUAUAAGACUGGGAUAACUUCGGGAAACCGGAGCUAAUACCGGAUAAUAUAUUGAACCGCAUGGUUCAAUAGUGAAAGACGGUUUUGCUGUCACUUAUAGAUGGAUCCGCGCCGCAUUAGCUAGUUGGUAAGGUAACGGCUUACCAAGGCAACGAUGCGUAGCCGACCUGAGAGGGUGAUCGGCCACACUGGAACUGAGACACGGUCCAGACUCCUACGGGAGGCAGCAGUAGGGAAUCUUCCGCAAUGGGCGAAAGCCUGACGGAGCAACGCCGCGUGAGUGAUGAAGGUCUUCGGAUCGUAAAACUCUGUUAUUAGGGAAGAACAAAUGUGUAAGUAACUAUGCACGUCUUGACGGUACCUAAUCAGAAAGCCACGGCUAACUACGUG
rnacentral:rRNA from 1 species